rnacentral:piRNA from 1 species
UAACUAACUCAAGGUAUGCUUCAGCCUCA